rnacentral:rRNA from 1 species
ACGGGGGGCCUACGGGAGGCAGCAGUGGGGAAUAUUGCACAAUGGGCGCAAGCCUGAUGCAGCCAUGCCGCGUGUAUGAAGAAGGCCUUCGGGUUGUAAAAUACUUUCAGCGGGGAGGAAGGCGACACGGUUAAUAACCGUGUCGAUUUGACGUUAACCC